GACGAACGCUGGCGGCGUGCUUAACACAUGCAAGUCGAACGGAAAGGCCCUGCUUUUGUGGGGUGCUCGAGUGGCGAACGGGUGAGUAACACGUGAGUAACCUGCCCUUGACUUUGGGAUAACUUCAGGAAACUGGGGCUAAUACCGGAUAGGAGCUCCUGCUGCAUGGUGGGGGUUGGAAAGUUUCGGCGGUUGGGGAUGGACUCGCGGCUUAUCAGCUUGUUUGUGGGGUAGUGGCUUACCAAGGCUUUGACGGGUAGCCGGCCUGAGAGGGUGACCGGCAAAAUUGGGACUGAGAUACGGCCCAGACUCCUACGGGAGGCAGCAGGGGGGAAUAUUGCACAAUGGGCGGAAGCCUGAUGCAGCAACGCCGCGUGCGGGAUGACGGCCUUCGGGUUGUAAACCGCUUUCGCCUGUGACGAAGCGUGAGUGACGGUAAUGGGUAAAGAAGCACCGGCUAACUACGUG
rnacentral:rRNA from 1 species